rnacentral:piRNA from 3 species
UGAACUCAACACAGCCAUCAACUGCA